rnacentral:lncRNA from 1 species
UGGUUGCAUCUCUGUUUUUGUUCUUAGGGUCGCUAAAGAAGCCAGAGUGGAGGCUGCAGGGAAUAUGGAUUUAAAUGAAUUUUGGCUGUACCAUCAAGCAGUCUGAUCACUGAGGAAAUAUCAAAAGCUUCACCCGAGUGACUCAUCACCCAAAUUCAACAGAGAUUGAUGUGUCCAUCUGUCAACCUGAAGAAGUAAAAGGACUGUGCAUCUAUAAUAUGUGUGUGACUAUUCGACAACUCUAA